UAACCCCCAAAUCCGACCACUCUCCCUCCCUCAUUCACUCUCAUCUGAUUUUUGAAGACUCUCUCAAGUGUUCUCUCCAUUUGCAACCCCAAGAACACCAAAGAAACUUGGAAGCUAAGUCUUGGUCUAGGAAGGGUUUUCCCUAAGUUUGUUAGGGUUUUUGAAAGGUUUUGAAGGAGUCAAAGCUUAUAGGAAGGUCCAAACCUUAAGCAAGAACACCAAAGAGUAUUGGCUAAGCGUAACUGGACUGAACGUUGGAGGGUGAAAACUUGCUGAGCGCUAAGGACUCCAAGUAAGAGCAAGGGCAAGGCAGAGCAGUGAGCGCUGGAGUCUUCCUUGCAAAUGUACAUGUGGACCGACCUUUUGGGAAGCCUUUUUAUUUUUGGAAAUGUUGUGUAAUUUUCCUAAACUAGGCUCACUCUAAUCUUUGUAAAACAUGUUUGUAACUAAAUGUUAAGUAUGGCCAUACGACUUUUUAAAAAGUUUUUUUUUCUAUGGGUUUUUGAGACAUUUUGUUAAAUGAAAACAUUUAUAUUUCCGCAUUAUCGAGUCUUGAA